rnacentral:rRNA from 1 species
UAUGGAGCGGCCGAUGUCAGAUUAGGUAGUUGGUGGGUAAAGGCCUACCAAGCCUGCGAUCUGUAGCUGGUCGUGAGAGGGCGACCAGCCACACUGGGACUGAGACACGGCCCAGACUCCUACGGGAGGCAGCAGUGGGGAAUUUUGGACAAUGGGGAAACCCUGAUCCAGCCAUGCCGCGUGCGGAAGAAGGCCUUCGGUUGUAAACCGCUUUUGUCAGGGAAGAAAAGGCGCAGUCUAAUACGUUGCGACAAUGACGGUACCUGAAGAAUAAGCACCGGCUAACUACGUGCCAGCAGCCGCGGUAAUACGUAGGGUGCAAGCGUUAAUCGGAAUUACUGGGCGUAAAGCGUGCGCAGGCGGUUAUGCAAGACAGAUGUGAAAAUCCCCGAGCUCAACUUGGGAACGGCAUUUGUGACUGCAUGGCUUGAGUGCGGCAGAGGGGGAUGGAAUUCCGCGUGUAGCAGUGAAAUGCGUAGAUAUGCGGAGGAACACCGAU